AUGGUAGAAGAUGUGCGUCCCCAAAAAAGAGGAGGUGUGGGUUUUAGAGAUUCACAUUGUUUCGACUUGGCACUCCUUGUAAAACAGUGUUGGCGGCUCCUGUCAGAGCAUGAGUCUUUUUGUGCAAGGGUGUCGAGAGAGAAAUAUUUUCCAAAUGGGGAUCUCCUUAAUUGCAACCUGAAGAAAGGUAGUUCAUACAUGUGGCAGAGUCUGAGGGAGAGAAACCAAACAUUUAAAAAUGGUGCAUAUGGAGAGUUGGUGAUGGAUCUCAAAUUAACAUAUGGGAUGACCCAUGAAUUCCUAGUACUCCAUCCAGGAAAGUGA
rnacentral:rRNA from 1 species